GCCCGCUCAGAACUAAAGAAUUGACGGGGCCGGCACAAGCGGAGGAGCAUGUGGUUUAAUUUCGAUGAUACGCGAGGAACCUUACCUGGGCUCGAACGUAAGAUGACUGUAGGUGAAAGCUUACAUCUCUUCGGAGCAUUUUACGAGGUGCUGCAUGGUUGUCGUCAGCUCGUGCCGUGAGGUGUCGGGUUAAGUCCCAUAACGAGCGCAACCCCUACCUUUAGUUGCCAUCAGGUUAAGCUGGGGACUCUAAAGGAACUGCCUACGCAAGUAGUGAGGAAGGCGGGGAUGACGUCAAAUCAGCACGGCCCUUACGUCCAGGGCUACACACGUGCUACAAUGGCCGAUACAGAGGGCAGCUACCUGGUGACAGGAUGCAAAUCUCCAAAGUCGGUCUCAGUUCGGAUCGGAGUCUGCAACCCGACUCCGUGAAGUUGGAUUCGCUAGUAAUCGCGCAUCAGCCAUAGCGCGGUGAAUACGUUCCCGGGCCUU
rnacentral:rRNA from 1 species